rnacentral:rRNA from 1 species
UACGAAGGGGGCUAGCGUUGCUCGGAAUCACUGGGCGUAAAGCGCACGUAGGCGGACUCUUAAGUCGGUGGUGAAAUCCUGGAGCUCAACUCCAGAACUGCCUUCGAUACUGGGAGUCUUGAGUCCGGGAGAGGUGAGUGGAACUGCGAGUGUAGAGGUGAAAUUCGUAGAUAUUCGCAAGAACACCAGUGGCGAAGGCGGCUCACUGGCCCGGUACUGACGCUGAGGUGCGAAAAGCGUGGGGAGCAAACAGG